AUUACUAUAACGAUACAUUUUUAUACAUCUGUGGUCCAUGAAUUGACAUAAAUUUAUUCAUCCCGUGAUCCGAUCCUUCGGUACUCAUCAGUUUUCAUCGUCUCACGGUUCCCCGACCACAGAUAAUAAUGUAAUAUAGUAAUAGAUAUGUAAUAUUAUAUUAUCUAUGUGUCCGUCGCCCACGGCAUCGUUAUCAAACAUAUACAAAUUCCGAUCGGACGUUUUUAUAAAUCAACGGUUUUAUGAGCAGUCAUUUUAUAAUUCAAUAUUUAAAAAUGUCCCAAUGGACGUGCGAUGUGGGUUGUUGCUCGGACGACUCGUCGAACUGUAACUGUUGUUGAAAUAUCGUAAGACCCAUCGUUACGGUUCGCUGUAAUGUGCUGAACCAUUGUCGGAUGCACAUUGCACACGUUUCAGUUGCGCCUUUUUUCUGCUAUCGUCGAACGGAUCUGUAACGUUUCAAUACCAUGAGCCGAUUUGUCCUAAAAAAUAUUAAUUAUGUGAUUAAAAAUGGUCUUAUACACGAUGUAAAAAAUAAAACGUUUAACCAAGAAAUUGUAAAUGCCCAAGAUAAUUUUAUUAUUAAAAUAGAAUACAAAACAUUUGAUGAUAUAUAUGUUUUAUAUCAUACUGAAGUACCAGUAAGACAUAGAGGUCAUGAUCUUGGGUCUUUGAUUGCUCAAGAGAACCCUAAAAGACAACCUACUAAAUAAAGUAUUAUAUUUUGUUACCAUGGAAACUUAAUAAAAAGUUUAUGAUAAUAGUGUUUUAACUGCCUCUUAUGCUUUAUAUUUGUCAACAAAAGAAGUAUUUGAUUAUUUAAUUCAAAAUAACACAAAGACAAAUUUACAUUGUCCGUUUCUUUUAAAGUUCAAAAAAAAAUAUCCAAAU